GACGAACGCUGGCGGCGUGCUUAACACAUGCAAGUCGAACGGAAAGGCCCUGCUUUUGUGGGGUGCUCGAGUGGCGAACGGGUGAGUAACACGUGAGUAACCUGCCCUUGACUUUGGGAUAACUUCAGGAAACUGGGGCUAAUACCGGAUAGGAGCUCCUGCUGCAUGGUGGGGGUUGGAAAGUUUCGGCGGUUGGGGAUGGACUCGCGGCUUAUCAGCUUGUUGGUGGGGUAGUGGCUUACCAAGGCUUUGACGGGUAGCCGGCCUGAGAGGGUGACCGGCCACAUGGGGACUGAGAUACGGCCCAGACUCGUACGGGAGGCAGAAGUGGGGAAUAUUGCACAAUGGGCGGAAGCCUGAGGCAGCAACGCCGCGUGCGGGAUGACGGCCUUCGGGUUGUAAACCGCUUUCGCCUGUGACGAAGCGUGAGUGACGGUAAUGGGUAAAGAAGCACCGGCUAACUACGUG
rnacentral:rRNA from 1 species